GCUCAGGACGAACGCUGGCGGCGUGCCUAACACAUGCUAGUCGAGCGGGAAGCUUUGAAAUGAGACUUCGGUUGAUUUUCAAAGUGGAGAGCGGCGGACGGGUGAGUAACGCGUGAGUAACCUGCCCUACAGAGAGGGAUAACACAGUGAAAAUUGUGCUAAUACCUCAUAUGGUAGUAGUACCGCAUGGUACAGCUAUGAAAGAUUUAUCGCUGUAGGAUGGACUCGCGUCUGAUUAGCUAGUUGGUAAGGUAACGGCUUACCAAGGCGACGAUCAGUAGCCGAACUGAGAGGUUGAUCGGCCACAUUGGGACUGAGACACGGCCCAGACUCCUACGGGAGGCAGCAGUGGGGAAUAUUGCGCAAUGGGGGCAACCCUGACGCAGCAACGCCGCGUGAAGGAAGAAGGUUUUCGGAUCGUAAACUUUUGUCUUAGGGGACGAUAGUGACGGUACCCUAGGAGGAAGCCACGGCUAACUACGUGCCAGCAGCCGCGGUAAUACGUAGGUGGCAAGCGUUGUCCGGAAUUACUGGGUGUAAAGGGCGCGUAGACGGGCAAAUAAGUCAGAUGUGAAAUACCGGGGUUCAACUCCGGGGCUGCAUUUGAAACUAUUUGUCUUGAGUGCAGGAGAGGGAAGCGGAAUUCCUAGUGUAGCGGUAAAAUGCGUAGAUAUUAGGAGGAACACCAGUGGCGAAGGCGGCUUUCUGGACUGUAACUGACGUUGAGGCGCGAAAGCGUGGGUAGCAAACAGGAUUAGAUACCCUGGUAGUCCACGCUGUAAACGAUGAUUACUAGGUGUGGGAGGUAUCGACUCCUUCCGUGCCGGAGUUAACACAAUAAGUAAUCCACCUGGGGAGUACGACCGCAAGGUUGAAACUCAAAGGAAUUGACGGGGGCCCGCACAAGCAGUGGAGUAUGUGGUUUAAUUCGAAGCAACGCGAAGAACCUUACCUGGGCUUGACAUCCCAUGCAUAUCUAAGAGAUUAGAGAAAUCCUUCGGGACAUGGAGACAGGUGGUGCAUGGUUGUCGUCAGCUCGUGUCGUGAGAUGUUGGGUUAAGUCCCGCAACGAGCGCAACCCUUACUGUUAGUUGCCAUCAUUAAGUUGGGCACUCUAACGGGACUGCCGGUGACAAAUCGGAGGAAGGUGGGGAUGACGUCAAAUCAUCAUGCCCCUUAUGUCCAGGGCUACACACGUACUACAAUGGUGAGAACAGAGGGAAGCAAGACAGUGAUGUGGAGCAAAUCGCAAAAUCUCAUCUCAGUUCAGAUUGUAGGCUGCAACUCGCCUACAUGAAGUCGGAAUUAGGAGUAAUCGCGGAUCAGCAUGCCGCGGUGAA
rnacentral:rRNA from 1 species